GUACGAUUAGCUUGUUGGUGGGGUAAAGGCCUACCAAGGCGACGAUCGUUAGCUGGUCUGAGAGGAUGAUCAGCCACACUGGGACUGAGACACGGCCCAGACUCCUACGGGAGGCAGCAGUGGGGAAUAUUGGACAAUGGGCGAAAGCCUGAUCCAGCAAUGCCGCGUGGGUGAAGAAGGUCUUCGGAUUGUAAAGCCCUUUCGGCGGGGACGAUGAUGACGGUACCCGCAGAAGAAGCCCCGGCUAACUUCGUGCCAGCAGCCGCGGUAAUACGAAGGGGGCUAGCGUUACUCGGAAUGACUGGGCGUAAAGGGCGCGUAGGCGGUUCGUACAGUUGGAUGUGAAAUUCCUGGGCUCAACCUGGGGGCUGCAUUCAAUACGUGCGGGCUUGAGUUCGGAAGAGGGUCGUGGAAUUCCCAGUGUAGAGGUGAAAUUCGUAGAUAUUGGGAAGAACACCGGUGGCGAAGGCGGCGACCUGGUCCGAUACUGACGCUGAGGCGCGAAAGCGUGGGGAGCA
rnacentral:rRNA from 1 species